AUGCGAGUUGAGAGGGUUCGGCCCUCGGCUAACGGCUCAGUAACACGNGNGANAAUCUGCCCUUAGGUGGAGGAUACCCUCGGGAAACUGNAGAAUAAUACUCCAUAGGUCUAGGAUGCUGGAAUGCACUUAGACUAAAAACUCCGGUGCCUAAGGAUGAGUCUGCGGACUAUCAGGUUGUAGUCAGGGUAAAGACCUGACUAGCCUACGACGGAUACGGGUUGUGAGAGCAAUAACCCGGAGAUGAUAUCUGAGACACGAUAUCAGGCCCUACGGGGCGCAGCAGGCGCGAAAACUUCACAAUGCGCGAAAGCGCGAUGAGGGAAUCCCAAGUGCUUGCACGUAAGUGUAAGCUGUUUCUAUGUUUAAAACGCAUAGAGAGUAAGGGCUGGGUAAGACGGGUGCCAGCCGCCGCGGUAAUACCUGCAGCUCGAGUGGUGGCCGCUAUUAUUGGGCCUAAAACGUCCGUAGCCGGUUUAAUAAAUGCCUGGGUAAAUUGUAUAGCUUAACUAUACGAAUUCCGGGUAGACUGAUAAACUUGAGACCGGGGGAAGUUAGAGGUACUCCUGGGGUAGAGGUGAAAUUCUGUAAUCCUAGGGGGACCACCGGUGGCGAAGGCGUCUGACUAAAACGGGUCUGACGGUGAGGGACGAAGCCCUGGGGCGCAAACGGGAUUAGAUACCCCGGUAGUCCAGGGUGUAAACGCUGCUUGCUUGAUGUUAGUCGGGCUUCGAGCCCGAUUAUUGUCGGAGAGAAGUUG
rnacentral:rRNA from 1 species